UGCGGUUUAGAGGAGAGGUUCCCUUGUUGGUCUCAUAAGCCAAAGACACUGGUUCGAAUCCAGUAGCCGCAA
rnacentral:tRNA from 1 species